UUAAGUUCAGCGGGUAGUCCUACCUGAUUUGAGGUCAAGUCGUCGAGAAAGACGAGGGCUUCCGACCUUCGAUCCUGCCCUGCGUUCGUCGGCCUCACGACCGACUAGUAACUAAAGCUUCGCUCGAAGUCCUAUUCUCAAGUCAAAAGAUUGGAAGCAAAGGGGGACAUGUAGCGCUAGUCCGACACUCCAGCUACGAC
rnacentral:misc_RNA from 1 species